CCCAAAUCCCCCCUGUCUCAUCUCUCCCAGCCAGAAGGAGGGAAGGCCACUCUGAACGCACAGUGACUCAUUAUCGAUGCCUCUGUCACACACAGGGAAUUAGUGACCUUGGGCACCGGACAAUGAGGAGUUGUCUAAACUGCUUGUCUUAUCAGUCUCCUCUGGCGGUCACUCUGUAUCUGGCACACUUAUAAACAGGUCCUCUCAGGCAAACUCUCCCACAGUCUCCUCAGCACAGAGACAAGAAAGGAUAUGUUACCAUGGCAAUGUGGUGUCAAAGAAAUUGCUUAUCCUGAAUUCAUGAUGGUGUUUUGGUCUCGCUGAGUACAGUCUGUACUUUCCUUCAAACUAAACAUUACAGAGGAGCAGAACACAUGUGCAACUUGUUAAUGAAUUUGACUAUAACAGAGUUCAAACCUGCAUUAACUGGGUUUUUUUUUUUUUGGCCUCUUGAGGGAAGUGCAGAAAGCUGUAAACACAAUAGUGACAUAUUAUCCGCUUAAAAUGUUUCUAUGUCAAAAUUAUUUAUAAAUUUAGCAGACAAAGAGCAACAAUAGUUUUUGGAGUUGUAUUUCUGUCAACUUGACUGAGUGUAAAUCCAAUAUUCACUUCUUUUUGUUCUGUUUACUCUCUAUAACAAAUCAAGAAGCUCCACUAUGUUCACUAGCUUGUGGCUAAGUUUGACUAUGUGCCAUUUAAUGCUGGGCAGGUAGACACUGAUGACACCAAAACAAUGAGCCGAAAGACACUAAAACACUCAAUUUUGAGGGGAACUGUAGAGUCAGGUGAAAAUUUACGGUGGGUUUGUCACUAUGAGCGACUGUGAACAUUACACAUAGUAAAUGGAACUUUUGCUAUCAGAUAAAUGUCGAUUAAUGCCACUUUAAAAAGGUACCCUGUGGAGUGUUUGGGCACUAGAAGCACUAUUUUCAUGCCAUUCUAGCACACAUACAAGGAAUCACGUGUUUACAUAUAAACAUGCAUUUGGCACAGUACACACUCCUGCUGACGGUUUCACAAUCUUCUACUGAUCAACAGUUGGCAACGAUAACACGCUGGGGGAACACAGCAGUGCGCCAGCAAAAGGAAGUGAAGAAGAGAAGUGCUAGCCAACAUGAAAAAAUGGAUGCAAACAGUGCAUGUUUUCAAAUAUAAAGAGAUUGCUUGCUUAAACUUGAUAAUUAUAAUCAAGAGUAUGAUGUUAACAUGGACAUGGGAUGUAAACAUUGUGUGCACA